UAAUACAUUUUUAUUAUAUGAUUUACUUAAUGAUUAAAAGUGCUAAACAAUUAAUCUACAACAGUAAAUACAUAUAAUAAAAUCAUCUUAAAUGAGAUAUUAUAUUACGCGUAGCUAAUACGUGAAAUAUAGUCCGAAAAACAAAUUCCCGAGCUCUUUUAAAACCAGGAUAUACGUUUCUACGAAAAAAAAUGGGCAACCAGCCCAAUCAGUCUAUUGCCAGCCGACCGACCACGUUUUUUUCCAGCUAGCCCGACACCCACCCUUUUUUUUAGCCUAUAAGGCCGGCCUGGCCAGCGAAAC
rnacentral:lncRNA from 1 species